CCUACGGGAGGCAGCAGUGAGGAAUAUUGGUCAAUGGGCGAGAGCCUGAACCAGCCAAGUCGCGUGAAGGAUGACGGCCCUACGGGUUGUAAACUUCUUUUGUCAGGGAGCAAUUGGGUCCACGCGUGGGCUUAGCGAGAGUACCUGAAGAAAAAGCAUCGGCUAACUACGUGCCAGCAGCCCCGGUAAUACGUAGGGGGCGAGCGUUAUCCGGAUUCACUGGGUGUAAAGGGAGCGUAGACGGCCAAGCAAGCCAGGGGUGAAAGCCCGGGGCCCAACCCCGGGACUGCCCUUGGAACUGCAUGGCUGGAGUGCGGGAGGGGCAGGCGGAAUUCCUGGUGUAGCGGUGAAAUGCAUAGAUAUCACGCAGAACCCCGAUUGCGAAGGCAGCAUACCGGUGCACAACUGACGCUCAGGCACGAAAGCGUGGGUAUCGAACAGGAUUAGAUACCCCAGUAGUC
rnacentral:rRNA from 1 species